GAUCAAAUAUAGGUGCAGACUGAAAUAGUCCUUAGAGAGAGUGAGAAAGGAAUGCAGUAGCCUUUCCAGACCCUGUGCAAGUCUCCGAGGAAGCCGAGGCUCACAUUCGUGACUACUAGAUCCAGUCUCUGCCGGAACUGCCUGAGGGCCAACACUGUAGCAGGGAGAUUAAUAAUGGUGCCUCAUCAUAGGAUUCCUGGCAGGGUUAAAGGAGUUAACAUGGGUGAAGCAUUUAGAAGAGUGCCCAGCAUACAGUAAGUGCUCAUGACAUCGGGCUCUUUUAAAAAGUCAACCAUCCCACACCAUGGACCAUCAAGUCUCCAUUCCUUAAGCUGGUUUCCUUGGGAUAAGGGCCUUGUUGGAAUGAGUAUCCCUGGACCUGGAGUUUGGAAUAUUAUCCAGCAAGAAGGCACUGCACUAACCAGCCCAGGGGUACGCUUCCUACUUGAAGCACAACUAGUUAAAUAAUAAAAUAUCUUCAAAAA